CCGGUGUAGGAGGCGCUUGCUCCUGGGAGGGACAGAUGUCAAGAGAGCUCUCUCCCGGGAAAGCGGCUUAUGAGGGAGGUCAGCUGCAGUGCAGUUUUGCUUUCUGUGCUAACUGACCCCGGCGUGAUGGGAAGGGACACGGGUUCGCAGGGCAUCUUGUCCCCCGUACUCCCCCCCCCAUUAUUCAGUUGGUUGAUAAGAGUUUCCAGGGGCUGAUUUUUCCCAAGCGGCGGCAGCGGCACAAGCUGCUGAGGAGAAAUCUGCUGACUUGCUGCUUUUUAAAAAUAACUCUGCCUUUGUCAGCAGGUCAGGGUUGCUCCACAUUAAAUAAUCACAGCAGCUCGGCCCUCCCCUGCUCUGAGCAAUUUGCACAAGGCUGCCACUCUUGUGAGGCCGCACGAAUCAUCACGGUUAAUGUUCCGGACAAGAGAGCUGGGGCGCUGCUCACAAGAGUUCGCUGUCCCCUGGGAACAGUCGCAUCACCAGGUGGGCUCUGAGGACCAAAUAUCUCCUUGGGGACCCCUCCCUCUUCGCCCAUCUAACCCUGGCAGGGUCAUGGCCUCGUGGACCUCUUGAGAGGUCAUGCCUGCAGUGCUCUCCCAUGCUGGGUAGCACCAGCCUGGCCACCCCUUGCCAGGAUCCCUGUGCUGAACCUUCAACUUUAAAGUAUUCGCCCUCAUCAACUCCCGAACACCUGAAGGGGCCUCAGGGCCGCAACACAGCAUGUGAGAUCAUGCUGCCUUCAAAGACAUCCUGCCACAGCCAUCACCUCGUCUAACCCCAAAGAGAUCACAUGCCCCACGCUCAGAUCAGAUUGUGGCUUCUCAGAAGCGUGUAAACCCCUGAGGUGACCACAGGAUAGAUGCAGUCUGGACCUGGCUAGCUCAAUCUGAUGGGGCCAUCACAUGCAUCAACCAUCCCAGCUGUGCCAUUUAAUGGUUGAACACUGAGGGCAUCUGGUACCAGCUGUUGGUCAUACCCCUGGCUGUGCCGAGCAUUCAAUCCAGACGCCAAGCGUGCCAAGGUGAAGAGAACAGAUAGACGUGCAUGCAUCUCUCCGAGCCAGUAUGGGCACGAGAUCUCUUUGAGGGAAAGCUGCAGACACCUGUAGCAAAGCUCCUGACAAAGCAUGAAAGAGCCUGCGGCAGAGCAGGCCUCACUCUGGUCUGAUUUAUGCCACUGAGCCGUUAGUGACUUCAGUGAAGUUACUCCAUCUUUACCUUAGCAUAGGAGCAGAAUCAGGCGGCUUGUGUCUUCCACCCCUUCAGCAAGCACCAGGCAAGUUUCCAUCCUCAGCCAGCCCUGGGAACCCUGGCUGGAUCCUAUCCCACACAGCCAGACCUGAGAUGGGGUGUAGAGACCCUACGCGGCAACAGCCACUGAGGGGUUAAUGGACAGAGCAGCUACUUCCCCAUCUGCGGCUAAUUGUUUGACCAGCAACAGUUGGGAUAAAAGGCCCAAGCAGAGGCUAAGAAGAGGUCUCCCUGGCUGCAAAGAGGGAGGAAGUGGUGCAAGGAGCUGGAACCUCCCAGGAUGGGCCUGGAGGCAGAUGAAGAUCUCCAUGUUGUGAUUUGUCUGCGGUUUAAUGCGCCUCUUCAGCUGCUGAACAAUCAAGCCCUCUCGUGUUGUCUCAGUCCCACCUUUUUAGUCUCGACAACAAACCAGCACACAAAAUAGACAGUCCCCAGACUCCAAUUUCCUUAAAGUGGUGCUGAUCCAAAUAAGUAUUUUGUUCGGGAACAAUGCUCACUAACAUUAUCCCUUGACAAUACUUUUUGCAGUAAAUACACGACAUUGCGACGGA